GGCAGCUCACAUUUUAGGAGUUUCCUAUUAUAGAUGUCAUUCCCAAUGGUUAAUAACUCAUCCAAGCAUGACUUGAGUAGCCCACAUCAUCAAUAUUAAAUGUGACAUUUACUAUCAAGAACAAAGUUUUGGGGCUGCUGCCAGCCCCGCUCACUGAGCUGUAAAUAUUUUGAUCAUCAAAGAAGAGGAAGAAGGAAGGAGCUGAUCAGCCUGUGCUCACACCCAAUAGACAUGGGGAGGAAUUAGAUGCUUGCACAGAGCCCCAAGGGCUCAGUGACUGCAGAAGCACCCUUGGGUGGGUGAAGUCAAGGCAGGUAGCAGUGCUCAGUGGCGCUAUGGAGACCGGAAUUCUGCUGAGUGUGCAAAUGGGUGCAGGGGAGCAGUGCAGGAAUCCCUCCUGGCCUCAAACCCCCCACAUACCAAGAGGUCCCUUGAAUGGGAUCACAUCACCUUCUCUCCUGCAUAACAGCCAGUCUGGCAACAAAUGCAUGCAAUAAUUUGACCCCUUUGACCUUUACACGUAUGAUUUGCUCACGGCUGUGUUCAGCCUGGAGCUGCAGUUGUCUGGGACGUCUGAACAUUAACUAAGUCACACACAUUCUUUUAUGUCUGUAAACAUUUUGGUGCCUCCAUGUUUACUAUGCAAUGCUGUUGCUAUAGCUACUUUACAGUUGGGUCUGUUUGUUGCAGCACUGCUAAAUAUUACACGAAGGUACAAAACCAAGAAACUGCUCUUCUUUAAAAUGAGCUGUCACUGUUAUACUGACACAGAGCAGUGAGAGUGCAGAGCUCAAGAGAAGAAAGGCCUUUGGCAUUAACUGGGACAAGUCUAACCACUGCAAACACACUUCUCUUCCACAGAGCAGCAAAUGGGUGUGGGAAGCUUUCAUACCAAGAGGGGACUUAAAUCACAGGUCAGGGCAGUGCUGUGCCUUGUCUGCUGCCUGUCCAUCUCCUGAAGUGGAGGUGGAGUGGAGCCUUUGGUCCAGCUGAGUCCAUGAAAUUGAGGGGGAGGAUUUCUGGAGAAGCACCAGGCGUGUUUUCAUGACGAUGACCUUCUAAUUAGACAUGACAAAUAAGUACAGAAGGUCUCAUUGUUAUGGAGUGGUGCUGUAUAAUAAAGACUGCAAAUACCAAAUAGCU